rnacentral:rRNA from 1 species
GACGUAGGGCGCGAGCGUUGUCCGGAAUUAUUGGGCGUAAAGAGCUCGUAGGCGGUUUGUCGCGUCUGCUGUGAAAUCCCGAGGCUCAACCUCGGGCUUGCAGUGGGUACGGGCAGACUAGAGUGCGGUAGGGGAGACUGGAAUUCCUGGUGUAGCGGUGAAAUGCGCAGAUAUCGGGAGGAACACCCGUAGCGAAGGCGGCACUCUGGGCCGGAACUGACGCUGAGGAGCGAAAGCGUGGGGAGCAAACAGG